AUUGAACGCUGGCGGCAGGCUUAACACAUGCAAGUCGAGCGAGCGGCGGAAGGGUGAGUAAUGACUGGGCAACUGCCUGAUGGAUGGGGGUCAGUAAUGGAAACGGUAACUAAUACCGCAUACACUCGGCUGUGCCCGAUUGGGAUUAGCUAGUAGGUGGGGUAAUGGCUCACCAAGGCGACGAUCCCUAGCUGGUCUGAGAGGAUGACCAGCCACACUGGAACUGAGACACGGUCCAGACUCCUACGGGAGGCAGCAGUGGGGAAUAUUGCACAAUGGGCGCAAGCCUGAUGCAGCCAUGCCGCGUGUGUGAAGAAGGUCUUCGGGUUGUAAAGCACUUUAAGCUGGGAGGCGUUACUCGCAGAAUAAGCACCGGCUAACUCCGUGCCAGCAGCCGCGGUAAUUC
rnacentral:rRNA from 1 species